UCACUGGCCCUGGUGGAGGAGAUACUAUAAUCAUGAAGAUAGUUUUUCCAGGAUGAGGCUUGUCCAUGGCACUCUGAAUGUGCUGACCCUUGAGAUUUCCAGAAAUGUGGGAAAUGAGAUUGCGUAAUUUGUGGUAGUGGGGGACUGCGUUUACACUCUCCUCUA
ensembl:snRNA U1 U1 spliceosomal RNA